CCUGGGAAUCUUAGAAAACAGAAUCUGGAAAAAAAAAGAAAAAGAAAAGAAAACAGAAUCUGAGGCGAAGGUUAUAUACCAGUACUGUAUGGGCACGUGUAUUCCGAGGGUAGCAGGAGCUGGGACAAGGGGAGUGAACCAAGGAAAGAGGAAACACGAAUGUGAGAGCAGGCAUUACUGUGGUGGCCACAGCUUUUGCAAGCACAGUUGCUUCCUCACAAGUGUCACACGGGACAUCUUUGAGAAACCAGAUUAAGCUUCUGCAUCUCUGAGCUUCUGUGGAGUGCCUGGGGUCAGGGGAGGACCAAGAAGGGGGGUCGUUUCCUGUAGGCUGCCAAAGUCUCUCAUGAGUCAAUGUUUGCCCCUCAGGAUAUCAAGUCCUUCUCUCUUAGGAGUUGAGCAGCCCAACACUUCCAGCAGUUAUAGUGAAUGCUAGGACCCAGGACAGCCUCCGAGGCCCCUGUGAAUCUGCAGGGCGCAUCGCGUGAGUCCCAGGACUUCGAGGUGCUCCCCGAGGUCUGUUACGUCAGCAGCAACAGAGAACCCGCAUGGCAGAGGUAGCAGCACAGGUGCUGGUGUAAGGCCAGGUCUUGUUUCAAGCGGAACAAGGAGCAACCCAAAUGGCAGCAGUGAAGUCAGGAUGCAUCUCACAAUUGACAACAGGAGAGAAAAAGAAAAUGCUGCUUAAGUCAUUG